rnacentral:rRNA from 1 species
CGUGUGGGGAGUACGGUCGCAAGAUUAAAUCUCAAAUGAAGAGANGGGGGCCCGCACAAGCGGGAGCACAUGUGGUAUAUUUAGAUGAAACGAGAAGCACUUUCCCUUCUUUUGACAUCCAUAGAACUUUCCAGAGAUGGAUUUGUGCAUUUGGGAACUACGAGACACAGGUGCAUGGGUGUCGUCAGAUCUUGUUUUGAAAGAUUGGGUUAAGUCUCGCAACGAGCGCACCCCCUUUCCCCGUUUGCCACAGAGUAAAGUCGGGAACUCCAGGGAGACUGCCGGUGACAAACCGGAGGAAGGUGGGGAUGACGUCAAGUCAUCAUGGCCCUUACGAGUAGGGCUACACACGUGCUACAAUGGCGUAUACAGAGGGCAGCAAGGUAGCGAUAGGAAGCAAAUCUCAAAAAGAGGGUUCUAGUCCGGAUGGGAUUUGGCAAUUGGAAUCCAGGAAUUGGGAAUGGUUAGUAAUCGGGAAUCACAAUGCCCCGGGGAAUACGUUCCGGGCCUUGGUCCCCCCCGCCGGUCCCCCCAGGGGAGUGGGUUGAUCCAGAAGUGGUUAGCUUACCUUUUGGGAGAGCGGUCACCACGGAGAGAUUCAUGACUGGGGUGAAGUCGUAAC